CAGCCGCCGCGGUAAUACGUAGGUGGCAAGCGUUGUCCGGAAUUAUUGGGCGUAAAGGGCUCGCAGGCGGUUUCUUAAGUCUGAUGUGAAAGCCCCCGGCUCAACCGGGGAGGGUCAUUGGAAACUGGGAAACUUGAGUGCAGAAGAGGAGAGUGGAAUUCCACGUGUAGCGGUGAAAUGCGUAGAGAUGUGGAGGAACACCAGUAACGAAGGCGACUCUCUGGUCUGUAACUGACGCUGAGGUGCGAAAGCGUGGGGAGCAAACAGGAUUAGAUACCCGGGUAGUCCCUGUCUCUUAUAC
rnacentral:rRNA from 1 species